UAAAAACUAUAAGCUGGAUAA
rnacentral:piRNA from 1 species